CCUACGGGUGGCAGCAGUGGGGAAUAUUGCACAAUGGGGUAAACCCUGAUGCAGCGACGCCGCGUGAGUGAAGAAGUAUUUCGGUACGUAAAGCUCUAUCAGCAGGGAAGAAAAUGACGGUACCUGACUAAGAAGCCCCGGCUAACUACGUGCCAGCAUCCGCGGUCAUACGUAGGGGGCAAGCGUUAUCCGGAUUGACUGGGAGUAAAUGGAGCGUAGACGGCAGCGCAAGUCUGAAGUGAAAACCCAUGGGUUAACCAUGGAACUGCUUUGGAAACUGUGCAGCUGGAGUGCAGGAGAGGUAAGCGGAAUUCCUAGUGUAGCGGUGAAAUGCGUAGAUAUUAGGAGGAACACCAGUGGCGAAGGCAGCUUACUGGACUGUAACUGACGCUGAUGCUCGAAAGCGUGGGUAUCGAACAGGAUUAGAUACCCCAGUAGUC
rnacentral:rRNA from 1 species